rnacentral:rRNA from 1 species
GACGAAUGCUGGCGGCGUGCCUAAUACAUGCAAGUCGAACGCAGUGGGGACGGGUGAGUAACACGUGGGUAACCUCCCAUCAGAGGGGAUAACACUUGGAAACAGGUGCUAAACCGAUACUGAUGGAAGGACCCGAGGUGAAUUAGCUAGUUGGUGAGGUAACGGCGCACCAAGGCCACGAUGCAUAGCCGACCUGAGAGGGGGAUCGGCCACACUGGGACGGAGACACGGCCCAGACUCCUGCGUGAGGCAGCAGUAGGGAAUCUGCGGCAAUGGACGAAAGUCUGAGCGAGCAACGCCACGUGAGUGAAGAAGGUUUUCGGAUCGUGAAACUCUGUUGUUAGAGAAGCGGUAUCUAACCAGAAAGCCACGGCUAACUACGUGCCAGCAGCCGCGGUAAUAC